rnacentral:rRNA from 1 species
CUGGCGGCGUGCCUAACACAUGCAAGUCGAACGAAUCAUUUAAGUGAAUCCCUUCGGGGUGAAGCUUUUAUGACUUAGUGGCGGACGGGUGAGUAACGCGUGAGUAACCUGCCUUUCAGAGGGGGAUAACAGUUGGAAACGACUGCUAAUACCGCAUAACGUAUUUUGAUCACAUGAUUGAGAUACCAAAGCUGAGGCGCUGAAAGAUGGACUCGCGUCUGAUUAGAUAGUUGGUGAGGUAACGGCUCACCAAGUCGACGAUCAGUAGCCGGACUGAGAGGUUGAUCGGCCACAUUGGGACUGAGACACGGCCCAUACUCCUACGGGAGGCAGCAGUGGGGAAUAUUGCACAAUGGGGCGAAAGCCUGAUGCAGCAACGCCGCGUGAGGGAAGACGGUUUUCGGAUUGUAAACCUCUGGCCUCGGCGAAGAGGAAAGUGACGGUAGCCAAGGAGGAAGCCACGGCUAACUACGUGCCAGCAGCCGCGGUUAUACGUAGGUGGCAAGCGUUGUCCGGAAUUACUGGGUGUAAAGGGAGCGCAGGCGGGACUGCAAGUUGGAAGUGAAAAUACCGCAGCUUAACUGCGGAGCUGCUUCCAAAACUGUAGCUCUUGAGUGGAGUAGAGGUAGGCGGAAUUCCGAGUGUAGCGGUGAAAUGCGUAGAUAUUCGGAGGAACACCAGUGGCGAAGGCGGCCUACUGGGCUCUUACUGACGCUGAGGCUCGAAAGUGUGGGGAGCAAACAGGAUUAGAUACCCUGGUAGUCCACACUGUAAACGAUGAUUGCUAGGUGUGGGGGGUCUGACCCCUUCCGUGCCGGAGUUAACGCAAUAAGCAAUCCACCUGGGGAGUACGGCCGCAAGGUUGAAACUCAAAGGAAUUGACGGGGGCCCGCACAAGCAGUGGAUUAUGUGGUUUAAUUCGAAGCAACGCGAAGAACCUUACCAGGUCUUGACAUCCGACUAACGAAGUAGAGAUACAUCAGGUGCCCUUCGGGGAAAGUCGAGACAGGUGGUGCAUGGUUGUCGUCAGCUCGUGUCGUGAGAUGUUGGGUUAAGUCCCGCAACGAGCGCAACCCCUGCCAUUAGUUGCUACGCAAGAGCACUCUAAUGGGACCGCUACCGACAAGGUGGAGGAAGGUGGGGACGACGUCAAAUCAUCAUGCCCCUUAUGACCUGGGCUACACACGUAAUACAAUGGCCGUUAACAACGGGAAGCGAACCCGCGAGGGGGAGCAAAACCUUAAAAACGGUCCCAGUUCGGAUCGCAGGCUGCAACUCGCCUGCGUGAAGUUGGAAUUGCUAGUAAUCGCGGAUCAGCAUGCCGCGGUGAAUACGUUCCCGGGCCUUG